GCUUACGGCCACACCACCCUGAAAGCGCCGAUCUCGUCCGAUCUCGGAAGCUAAGCAGGGCCGUGGCUUGUUAGUACUUGGAUGGGAGACCGCCUGGGAAUACCAGGUGCUGUAAGUU
rnacentral:rRNA from 1 species